rnacentral:rRNA from 1 species
GACGAACGCUGGCGGAGUGCUUAACACAUGCAAGUCGAGCGGAGCGGCGAACGGGUGAGUAACGCGUGAGUAACUGCCCCCCUCUCUGGGAUAACAGUUGGAAACGGCUGCUAAUACCGGCUAGUGGGGGAUGACUCGCGUCCUAUGAGAUUGUUGGUGGGGUAGUGGCCUACCAAGCCGCCGACGGGUAGCCGGCCUGAGAGGGCGACCGGCCACAUUGGGCUGAGAUACGGCCCAAAGUCGUACGGGAUGCAGCAGUGGAGAGUAUUGCACAAUGGGGGAAACCCUGAUGCAGAAACGCCGCGUGCGGGAUGACGGCCUUCGGGGUGUAAACCGCUUUCAGCCAUGACGCGGUAGUGGCAGAAGAAGCACCGGCUAACUACGUGCCAGCAGCCGCGGUAAUUC